ensembl:lncRNA
AUGGCCAAGACCAACCAAGAGGCCCUGGUGGACCCAAGCCAGGCAUUAAAGCCACUCUGGAGUUUCAGGUGGCCGUCAGGAGACCGACCCGAGGGCCACACAGGGUUAGGUAAGAAGCACAGCCUGGCCCAAGCUUGUCAGGUUGGAAAGGGAGCCUCAGAAGGGAAGGAUCCAGGAAGACUUGACCCAGAGAAGGGUGAUGGAAUCCUCAGUGGAGACCUCCUGCUGUUCCCCAGACAGCCUUCAGGUACUUCCCAGGGGCGGCUUAAAGGAUGAUUGUGCCAUCUGAGUGACCCGGACAGACCUUUCAGAGCCCACAGAAACCACUUCACCACCAGGAGAUGCUGAGAUAAGGAAAGAUGAAAAGCUGCAAAAACAAUGUAUUCUGUUUGUCAUCAAUUCAUAUCCAUUUGAGUUGGAGAUCCCCAGCCUAUCAGCCGUGAUUCACUGACUUGUUCUCUGUGCACUUCUUCCCAUUCCCUUCUCAAGGCAUAUAAAGUCUAAGGGAUUGACCGAGGAACAUGUUAAAGACGUGUCCUUUGUGUUCAUUCAUUCAUUCAUUUGUGGGAGACUCUCCCAUCAGUGAAAACAGCAGGUGCCUCACGAAAUAGUGGGCCAUGGGGGAAGACACAUGUUUUGGAUCUUAGGGAAGGGCACUCACCCGUCUCGGUGACUAGUGCAUGUCCUUGGGCCCAGCUCUGCAUGAACAAGGGUCAUAGUCUAUGUUGCCCCAGCCUCGUUCUUUCCUGAUACAGCCUCGAGCCAGGAGCUGUGAUGCACUUUGGACUUUCAGAGGGCUGCAUGAAUGGGAGUCAUUGUGAGAAUCACAAGAAACCCUCAUGCUGCCCCACACCUGUCGGCCAGGUAUCCUAACUCUCCAGAGAUCCGCCCUUGUAGUGGUCAGAGCCUCUGGAGCAUGUGCCCGCCCCUGGGGCAGGUUGUCCUUCUGUCUUGUAUUGCAUGAGAAUAGCUCGUUUCUAUUCAGGUGAGAGUUAGCCUAGAUUAAUAGUUUGUUUGGAAAGAAUGUCUGUAUCGUAUUUAUUGGUAAUAAUUUAUUCUUUCUUGAAAAAGGACCACAUUAAAGGCACUUUCCACAGCAAGGUUGUUUUUAAGUAAGCAUUAAACAUCUAAAUGUAGAAUUCAUUAUUUUUAAAACAAUCUGUCUUUGAAGGACAGAAAAGUAAAUCUCUUUUAGAAACAAUGAAAAUUAGCUUUGCAAGCAAAGAAUUGAUGCUUCUUGAUUGAUUACUGGAAGUCUGAUUAUUGUAUAAAAAAACCCACUAGGGGCAGCUAGGUGGCGCAGUGGAUAGAGCAUCAGCCCUUUAGUCAGGAGGACCUGAGUUCUAAUCUGUUCUCAGACACUUAACACUUCCUGGCUGUGUGACCCUGGGCAAGUCACUUAACCCAACAGCCUCAGGGGGAAAAAAAAGAAAAAGUGACAAGAAAAAAAAAGUUCCUGUGAGAUACUGGCUUAACUCUGAGAUGCUUAUUAGCUCUUCAGAUUUUGUGAUGUUUUCAUAAGUGAAAAUCUAAAAUGACAAUUUUACAUUUUGGCCAUUAAUUUCACUUUAACUUACAGUUAAAUCUUUACAAGAUUUCAUCACAGUGAUUUCUUUUUCCACCAGUCCACAUGACAGGGACCUCCAUGAGUUGCCCUAAAGACAAAAUCCUACCUGCUGACCAGACCUCUGCAGACCUUCUUCAGAUUGGCCAGGCCUUAGAUGUCAGGCCUGGAGAGUCCUGAGGUUACUGGCCGCCUUUCCAGAAAUAUUAAAAAGGAAGAGCACAGAAGGUAGCAGGCCACAUUCCCCAGCUAGGAGACAACUGAGAAUGAUGUUGAUGGGGGCGAGAUCAUGAAAAGAGCCUGGGAGCAUUUUCAAAAUGGCAGCGCCAUGGCUGGUGUGCUGACUUUGGCUAGCUCCCUGAUGCCCAGCUUGCUGUUCCCUACGGUGGCCCAGGUCUGAAAUUUAAGUAUCCCCUGGCUUUGGUUCCCCUUGUACUUUUAAAAUACAAUUUGAGGAUUUGGCUGAAGACUGAGGAGGUAAAUGAAGACCUCCUGCUAUUCCAUAUGAGGUUAGUACCUCUAGAUCCAGCUUAACCUAGAGUAAAUUGUUCCUAAGGUUAGCACUUGGUGGGAAAUGACUGUGUAAGUAACUGCUGCUCUGCCCAAGGCCUGGGAGAAAGCCUGGUUUUCCACAAGUGUGGCUCAUAGCAGCAGUGCCUGAUCCCCCUCCCUCAGCCCCAAGGAGGAGUAGUUAGCACCAGGAAAAGCAGCUCAAUGUCCUUUCCUACCCCAAGGAAGUCGAUGAAUGCCCGUCUGUGUGUAAGACUGCCAUAUAAUAUUACUAUGUGAAUAAGCAGAAUCUUGCCAGAAACUUCAGAAAAACUAGUCUCUUGCUGAUUACAAUGCAUCUCUAUGUGCUAGCAAUAUUUGCCUCUAUCAAACACUUUUUAUGGAAAGAUUGAUGUUAGUUAGAUCUCCAUGUCAAACCCUAGCAUCGUGUCAACAGAACUUGCGCAUCUAAAUGUGGUAUCGUGAAAUAAAAGUUUAAAAUGACAUCUCAGAAUUGCUUCUUCGUAUGCACUUUUUAAAAUUCUCUCUUCUCUCAAUUCAUUCCUUUUUAUGUCUCUUUAAAAAUAAUGAACAUGACUAAUGUGGAAAUACAUUGAAUAUGAUUAUACAUGUAUGAUCUCUAUCAAAUUCAUUGACAUCUUGGGGAGAAAGGAGGGAGAAAAAGUGGAAAUCAAAAUCUUAUAAAAGAAAAUGUCAAAAAUAUAUAUAUUUUAUUUAAAGUGAGAACACCAUAAGGCAGUGAGGCUAUGGGGCUGCAUCCUAGGUCAGUGUCCUGGAGGCAGGAGUUCUCUGGUCUCUAUGUCCUUUGUAUUCCUUUUCUGUUUUUCUUUUUUCUUAUUCUUUUCUUUCAAUAAAAUAAAUUUUUUUCUGCAAGCUAUCAGACAAAAUCAAUUCAAAUAUCAAGGAGAAAGAGUCAGGAUUACCUAGGAUAUGGCAGCUUCUACCAUAAAGGAUCGAAGAGCCUGGAAUACCACAUUCAAGAAAAUAAAGGACCUAGGGUUAUAACCAAGAAUUAACUAUCCAGAAAGAUUCAGUACCGUCUUUCAGGGGAGAAGAUGCAUGUUCAAUGAAGUAAGAGACUUUCAAUCAUUUCUAUUGGAAAAAAAAUCAGAACGGAAAAUUUAAUCUUAUAAACAUAGGACUCAAGAGAAGUAUAGAAAGGUAAAUGGGAAAAAUGCAUAUUGUUUAAUGUUUAAACUGUUUAUAUCCCUAGAUGGGGAAAGAAUAUCUGUAACUCUUGAGAACUGUAUCUGUCACUGGGGCAGACAAAUGAGGGCAUCAUAUAAACUCAGAGUGUGGUUGUGAAUGGAAAAAAAUAAAAUAAAAUAAAAUAAAUUUUUAAAAAUUCUAGAUGAUGGAGGGAAAAGACACAGCAAUCAAUCACCACAAGCUACCUUCUCAACGCACUUCACAGGCAGGAGUGAUUUUUAUUACACUUUUCAGAAGAUUUAACCCAAAUAUUCCCAUGCAAAAUGCUUUACACCAAGGACAGUUGAACCCAUUAGAGGCAGAGGCUAUUGUUGGUCAGCUAUAUUGAUGAUAUGGGUGAUAUCGAAGGCAAAAUCAAAUAAGGGAAGAAGAUUCCCAGAGAGAGGCACAGGUGUGCCUUCGGGCAUAGCAGCAGGCCCAGAGCCAAGGCAAGGGCACUUCUGCUAAUGGAGGAGGGAGGUCCCUCAUGGCAGCCCCAGCACCUGAUUCUUGGGGUGGCCCCUUCAGAACAUCAUUGUUGACACGGAGGGGGCCAGCCCUGUAAUCCCUCUAAGAAUAAAAGAUUAACCACCACUCUAGUCUUUUCUCCAAAAAAAAUUGUUUUUCAACUCAGGAUUUGGGGGGCUUAUUUCCAUGAAAUUCCUGAAGUUGCAAAGGGAGUGAAGGAGAAAAUGAAUUUCUUUUUAUCUGUCCAGGGCUUUGCAGACAUUACCUCCUUUUACUCUUACAACAAUUCUAUGAGGUCAGCGAUGUUAUUAUGAUCUCCAUUUUACAUUUGAGGAAACUGAGGUAGACAAUGAUCUGUCCACUGUCUCACCACUAGGAAGUGUCUGAAACUGCAUUUGAACUCGGGUCUUUCUGCCUCCAGGCCCUGUACUCUCUCUCCUCUCUUAGCAGCCUCUAUCUGGGUCUCCCUGCCUCUGCUCUCCCUCUCGUGGAGGGAGAUUUACUACACAAGUUCCUCCACUCCUCUAAAAUCUCCAGUGGACUCAUGCUCCCAUCACACAACAGUGCAGAGUGACCGCCAAGGCUGACCUCACGCCAGUGCUCCUCCUCUUUUCCUGAUCACAUGGGACUCCCCUCCACACUCCAACCACACAAACCCUGAAAGCUCUUCUCUCCAUUCGCCUACACUUGUGCCCGUCCUGUUAAAUUCUAUUGAUUCUUUUAAGCCCAACUCAAAUGCCCUUCAGGAAGAUUCAGCUGAGUAAAAAAAGAGCGGGACCCAGUCGGGGGACCCUGGUCAAGUCACAAACUAGCCUCUGUCUGCCUUCAUCUUCUCAUCUAUAAAAUGGGAAUAGCAGCAGCUGCCACCUCAGAAGCCCUUGUAAGAAUCAAACGAGUUACUAUAUGUGAUGUAUUAUAAUGGUCCCUCUGAGUGACAAUCUCCCCCUGCCCCCACAUAGACACAUACCUGGAC